rnacentral:rRNA from 1 species
UACGUAGGUGGCAAGCGUUGUCCGGAAUCACUGGGCGUAAAGGGCGCGUAGGCGGCUUGGGAAGUCCGUGGUGAAAGCUCGAGGCUCAACUUCGAGUCGGCCAAGGAUACUCCUAAGCUCGAGUCGACUAGAGGCAGAUGGAAUUCCGGGUGUAGCGGUGGAAUGCGUAGAGAUCCGGAAGAACACCGGUGGCGAAGGCGGCAUCCUGGACCGAUACUGACGCUGAGGAGCGAAAGCCAGGGGAGCAA